rnacentral:lncRNA from 1 species
AAGAUGGCCGAUUAACAUUGCUAUUGCGGGAUUGAAUUACAGACAAAGUAAGUAAGUGCUAAUAAGCGCUAUGUCACGUCCUGACCAGUAGAGAGUAUAUUUGGUUAGCACUGUGCCGUCGUUGACGGCAGCCACCCUCCCUUCCCUCCCUUUUUGUUUAGGGGAUUUUUCUGGUUGUUUUGGGGGUUUUCUGUGUUUUGUGUAGGUGCAUUCCGAGGUCUGCACCUUUGGGGUGGGGUACUGUCACGUCCUGACCAGUAGAGAGUAUAUUUGGUUAUUGUAGUUUGGUCAGGACGUGGCAGAGGGUAGUUGAUGUAUGUAUUAUGGGGUUUGUCACUGGUCUAUGUCUGUGUUUCUAUGUCUAGUUGAUUGGGGUUGGACUCUCAAUUGAAGGCAGGUGUGUUGAGUUGCCUUUGAUUGGGAGUCCUAUAUAGUAGGGAGUGUUUGGCUUUGUUUUUCUUGGGUAGUUGUUUGAGAGCACUGCUUUUUGUUGAGCCUGCUUUCACUGUUUCAUGUCGCUAGUUUGUUUAUUGUUUUCUUCCGUGGUGUUCGCAUUAAAUGAAUAUGUUGAGCACGAAACCCGCUGCGCAUUGGUCCCGUUCUCUCUACGACGACAAGCGUGACACGCUAGUGCUAAUAAUACCAGAGACUUGUAAUAACAAUGUUGUAGACUGCUAUAUAUUAUUCAUAGAGAGAGUGUCUUGUUUAUGUGCUGCUGGCAUUGUCAAAUCAAUAACAUAUUACUUUAACAAAUCUCAAUGCUAAGUCUAAUGGGAUACAUUACUCCACAAGGGAAAAUGUAUUGUCUGGUGUAGCGGCCCUCGGGCUCCCGGCCAGCUUUGGGAGGGCUCAUUAACAUGGUGCAAGCCAACUUUGUUACUGUGAUGAAAUCUUUCUCCGAGCUACUUUCUCCUGAUGAAUCUACAGCCUGGGAAACAGCACAGGUAUUACAACACUUAGUUUGGGUCCAAAUGGCACCCUAUUACCUACAGUGAGACUAGGGUGCCAUUUGGGACGCACAAUAGUAUAUUCCCAACCAAAGAUACUGUACUGUACUUCUAUUGAACAAAAGUCCCAUGCUGUACUGUAGUCUCAUGAAGUAACUUGUGAAACAGUACAGUAUGGUUUUUUCAUACAAACAAUGCCCUCCUGCUUAAACAUUAAGAGAAAUCAUAAAAUGUGAUAUGCUAUAGGCUUCUCGGAAUCGCACGAUUGGCUAAAAACAGACCUUCCUCCAUCUUCUACCAGCUUGCUACCUAUGGCUCGGCUAGCUAUCUAACUCUCACUGGACCCUUUGAUCACUCGGCUAAGUAUGACUCUCCUUAAUGUCAAUAUGCCUUGUCCAUUGCUGUUCUGGUUAGUGUUUAUUGGCUUAUUUCACUGUAGAGCCUCUAGCCCUGCUCAUUAUACCGCAUCCAACCUUUCAGUUCCUCCACCCACACAUGCUAUGACAUCUUCUGGUUUCAAUGAUGUUUCUAGAGACAAUAUCUCUCUCAUCAUCACUAAAUGCCUAGGUUUACCUCCACUGUACUCACAUCCUACCAUACCUUUGUCUGUACAUUAUACCUUGAAGCUAUUUUAUCGCCCCCAGAAACCUGCUCCUCUUUCUCUCUAUUCCGGACGUCACAGACGACCAAUUCUUAUAGCUUUUAGCCGUACCCUUACC